UGGGGGGAAGCCGCAGCUAAAGGGCCACGGCUUUCUUGGCAUCGUGUGACAGGCUGGCCCGCUCACAAAAUCAUCCAUCUCGACUCUAAUUUAAAAAUCCCACGUUCCGUGUCUCCUGGCCUUAAUUUAAUAAUAAAUUAUAAACAAGUGAUCAAGUGGAGUGCAAUAUUUAUCUUUUUUUUUGGGUAGAUAAGUGCGAUAUUUGUCAAUUGCUAGCAUCUUUACGGCGACAUAUGGCAUCGAUCGCAAACGAUGAGCUUACGCAAAGAAAUAGCUCCGAGUCCUGGAGCUAGAUGUGCCACGGGCC
rnacentral:lncRNA from 1 species